UGUCUCGCACUCGAGUCGCAAAUGUAAACACGAGUAAAUACAGCGAAAUCAAUCCAAGCUGAGAUGAUUUUCCAAAAUAACUUGGUAGAAUUUGAGGCUAUGGUUAAAUAUGCAGUUAUUAAAUCGCGAAUCGGGCCUUCAACUGCACAAAUAACAUGGAUCUGGGAGCUGGAAUCUCAAAUUCAAGAUGGCGGCCAUGACACAGUUUUAAAUUAUGCAAAAGUUUUUGGUAACUAAGCGUUGCGAUGACGUAGGACAGUAGGCUAGAUACUUCGUGUAAGAAAAAGGCUUCAGUAAGGUCGCAAUCAAUACACUAAAACAAGCGAAGUAUUGACUAUGGCGCAAAGGCUCUUGGGGUAUUGCGAAACAUUGCAGAUUUCCCGGGACCACGAAAAAAAAACCAGUUGCAAUUUAUAACUGGGCUACCACAGGUAUCCCAGUAAAAAUCUGGCUCCUAGUCCAUUAAAUGAUUACGCAUUGAACAAAGUAAUAUGAUUGCGUAUAAAAAGAUAUCUCCUAGUCUAGAUUAUAAUAAUGUAAUAGUAUCUAUCAGUGAUGGUCGUCUCACUGAAAUGCAAUAUGACAGUACUUUAUUUUUCAAGAAUUGAACCCGUUACGGCAGGUACAUUUGACACGCCAAUGAUCUAGUUCUGAAAACGCGCAGGACGAACCUAAACACGCUACGGACAAAUUGAAAUUUCUUUUUUUUUCCUAAUAUAUUCCAAACGCGUAUGAUAUUAGCUUCAGAUAGGCGUCAGUCAGGGUUAAGAACACAGACGCACAUCAAGUUACAAACGAAGCUAGCACCCACCCCCUAACACGAUGUCGCUAGGUGACGCCAUCUGCAGUUUGUUCUGGAGUCUCGUUUGGCUGGUGAUCUUGAUCAUUGUCGCUCUACCAGUGGGCUUCAUCGCCGCUAUCCUCUUCGUUUUCAUCUCUCCGCUCAGCGCGUGUUGUGAUUGCUUGAAGUCCCUUACGGAUUUUCUCAUGAAGGGGGUGAACUUUCCUUACAACGCGGCCUGCAAUGUGUGCAGUGGAAAGAGAGGGUGCUAGAGAAAUAAUAUUGAUAACUACUACUGUUCAUCGAGCUGGGCAACUAAUCAUCAUAAAAUUAAAAUACCUAGUAUAACAGCACCACGACAAAGUUAAAGGAAAGAUGGCCAAUCCACGCGAGAAUCACAAUGUGUUUGAAACGAACUGAAUAUGUAGAAACAUUUAGUGGUGGCACUAUAAACAUGCCGGGAGGGGGGAGACAUAGCAAACUCUUCCCACUAGAAUGUUAACUUUAUUUCUGAGUACCUUUUUCUACACACAUAAAAUUAACAGUCUUCUUAAAUACCAAGGGGUCGACAGGGUCGAGGGGUCCAGACCCCUCGGACACGCGCCUAAUACCAUACCAUCACACUAAGCUGUAAACUCCAUUUCUGGGUGUCCAAUUUUGGAAAUAAACAUUUCCUUGAGAUCUCGCAACACAUUUAACAAGAAAAAAACAAAUAAAAGGGAUACGACGUAAAAUUUUUAUUACACAUUGACUUAGAUUCAUAUUUAACAUUGAUGUACCAUGAGAAAACAAGACUAAAACCAUAAUAAAAUCAAACUUUUCUCCUCCUA